rnacentral:rRNA from 1 species
CUACGGGGGGCAGCAGUGGGGAAUAUUGGACAAUGGACCAAAAGUCUGAUCCAGCAAUUCUGUGUGCACGAUGAAGGUCUUCGGAUUGUAAAGUGCUUUCAGUAGGGAAGAAGAAUGUGACGGUACCUACAGAAGAAGCGACGGCUAAAUACGUGCCAGCAGCCGCGGUAAUACGUAUGUCGCAAGCGUUAUCCGGAAUUAUUGGGCAUAAAGGGCGUCUAGGUGGGUUACUAAGUCUGAUGUGAAAAUGCGGGGCUCAACUCCGUAUUGCGUUGGAAACUGGUUUACUAGAGUCUUGGAGAGGUGGGCGGAACUACAAGUGUAGAGGUGAAAUUCGUAGAUAUUUGUAGGAAUGCCGAUGACGAAGGUAGCUCACUGGACAAGUACUGACACUAAAGCGCGAAAGCUAGGGGAGCAAACAGGAUUAGAUACCCCUGUAGUC